GUGGGGAAUCUUCCGCAAUGGACGAAAGUCUGACGGAGCAACGCCGCGUGAGUGAUGAAGGUCUUCGGAUUGUAAAGCUCUGUUAAUCGGGACGAAAGAGCCUAGUGUGAAUAAUGCUAGGAAGUGACGGUACCGGAAUAGAAAGCCACGGCUAACUACGUGCCAGCAGCCGCGGUAAUACGUAGGUGGCAAGCGUUGUCCGGAAUUAUUGGGCGUAAAGCGCGCGACGGCGGAUCUGCCAGUCUGUCUUAAAAGUUCGGGGCUUAACCCCGUGAUGGGAUGGAAACUACAGAUCUAGAGUAUCGGAGAGGAAAGUGGAAUUCCUAGUGUAGCGGUGAAAUGCGUAGAUAUUAGGAAGAACACCAGUGGCGAAGGCGACUUUCUGGACGAAAACUGACGCUGAGGCGCGAAAGCCAGGGGAGCGAACGGGAUUAGAAACCCGUGUAGUCC
rnacentral:rRNA from 1 species